UUACGUAGGGGGCGAGCGUUGUCCGGAAUGAUUGGGCGUAAAGGGCGCGUAGGCGGCCCGGUAAGUCUGGAGUGAAAGUCCUGUUUUUAAGAUGGGAAUUGCUUUGGAUACUGUCGGGCUUGAGUGCAGGAGAGGUAAGUGGAAUUCCCAGUGUAGCGGUGAAAUGCGUAGAGAUUGGGAGGAACACCAGUGGCGAAGGCGACUUACUGGACUGUAACUGACGCUGAGGCGCGAAAGUGUGGGGAGCAAACAGGAUUAGAUACCCUGGUAGUCCACACUGUAAACGAUGAAUGCUAGGUGUAGGGGGUAUCGACCCCUUCUGUGCCGCAGUCAACACAAUAAGCAUUCCGCCUGGGGAGUACGGCCGCAAGGUUGAAACUCAAAUGAAUUGACGGGG
rnacentral:rRNA from 1 species